CGCCGGUGCCUCGUAAAAGAGGAGAAUAGGGAAUGCGGUGAGAAUCCGCAGCAGCCCCCACUACUGUAACCCGGUACGAAGUCCGAAAAAAGGUCAUUGGUCCAGUGCUUCAGCCAAAGAGGCGGAAGCGGGGCUGAGAAGGCGUCGGACGGAGGCGAAACGGGUAAGUCAGGAGACCUGCCGGCGAGUUUU
rnacentral:ncRNA from 1 species